CUUAGCUUCCUUGCCACUACCUGGAGGAGGUCAUCAGCACUUCCUGGAGCCUCCAUCCAUCCCUCAUCCUAUGGCAAGAGUGAAAUAAUUGUCCCAAAGUGCAAAAGGGUUUAUGCUGUGUGCUCAGUGGCUCACAAUGUCCAGUUCAGAUCUGUGCAAGCCAGAUACGCAAAUGAAGAGGAAAAAAGUAUUUAGGUGAGAAGAUAUCAAUCAUGGAUCACUACAUCAAAAACUAAUGAUGUAAUGUGUGAUGAUUAACAUAACAUAAUAAAAUAAAAGAAAUGC
rnacentral:lncRNA from 1 species